CUGGCCACUGUAUACAUCAAGCUGACACGGCUCCGCCAUAAAAAUCUGUCGCUAGCAGGCUGAGGUUGGGAGUGCUUGGAUUUACACGUGUGAGGUAACGUACGUGCGAAGCUUCCACAUCGGUGCCGACGGAGAUUGGUUGUGGAUGAGGUUAUCCCUUGUCACGCGCGACCACUGUAUUUUAUUAUUUACAGACCAUAAAUGCAUACAAAUAUAAGAUGGUUGUAUCUAUCUCCCUCUCUAUAUAGUAUAGUUGUAUGUAUCAUCCUCCGCAAUUUGCUCUCGACCGUUUCUUUCUUUCAGUUUCACAUCGCUUCCUCUAUCCAUCUCUCAUCGUCCUCGAGGAUUAGUUUCGAAUCGAUCAGAUUUGGCGGCACCCUCAUUUCAAGCUCUUUGUUUUUAAAGGCCAUCUCAGUUUGCUUCUUUCAUCUCAAGCUCGUCCAUAAAAAUUCUGUCUUAAAGCAUGUGGGAAUAACAGCUCUUUGAAAGCUCAAGUUUUUAUCUGAAUUUGGAGGUGGUGGAUGAAGAAGAGUAAAGAGCUUCAGCAGGUUUGUGCAUUUAGCCAUGGAGCAA